CCCGAGCGUUGUCCGGGAUUUAUUGGGCGUAAAGCGAGCGCAGGCGGUUUGAUAAGUCUGAAGUUAAAAGGCUGUGGCUCAACCAUAGUUCGCUUUGGAAACUGUCAAACUUGAGUGCAGAAGGGGAGAGUGGAAUUCCAUGUGUAGCGGUGAAAUGCGUAGAUAUAUGGAGGAACACCGGUGGCGAAAGCGGCUCUCUGGUCUGUAACUGACGCUGAGGCUCGAAAGCGUGGGGAGCGA
rnacentral:rRNA from 1 species